rnacentral:rRNA from 1 species
UACAGAGGUCUCAAGCGUUGUUCGGAUUCAUUGGGCGUAAAGGGUGCGUAGGCGGCGCGGUAAGUCGGGUGUGAAAUCUCGGAGCUUAACUCCGAAACUGCAUUCGAUACUGCCGUGCUUGAGGACUGGAGAGGAGACUGGAAUUCAUGGUGUAGCAGUGAAAUGCGUAGAUAUCAUGAGGAAGACCAGUGGCGAAGGCGGGUCUCUGGACAGUUCCUGACACUGAGGCACGAAGGCCAGGGGAGCAAACGGG